rnacentral:rRNA from 1 species
UACGUAGGGGGCUAGCGUUGUCCGGAAUCAUUGGGCGUAAAGAGCGUGUAGGCGGUCCGGUAAGUCCGCUGUGAAAGUCGGGGGCUCAACCCUCGAAUGCCGGUGGAUACUGUCGGGCUAGAGUGCGGAAGGGGCGAGUGGAAUUCCUGGUGUAGCGGUGAAAUGCGCAGAUAUCAGGAGGAACACCAAUGGCGAAGGCAGCUCGCUGGGACGUGACUGACGCUGAGACGCGAAAGCGUGGGGAGCAAACAGG